GUAACACAGCUCUACAGCAAUACUAGAAAUUUGGGUUUAAGCCCUUAACCCCUUAAGGACUGAAGCAAUUGUACAAGUUGUGAUCAAAACAAAAUGUAAACAAAAACUGGAAUUUGCGCUAUAUGUCUGUUCAACCGUAAUUCACCUAUUUCAUAUUAAGUGCACCCACACUUAUUAUAUAUCAUUUUGUUCGGGAGAAACAGG